UGGGGAAUAUUGCACAAUGGGCGCAAGCCUGAUGCAGCCAUGCCGCGUGUAUGAAGAAGGCCUUCGGGUUGUAAAGUACUUUCAGCGGGAGGAAGCGAUAAGGUUAAUAACCUUGUCGAUUGACGUUACCCGCAGAAGAAGCACCGGCUAACUCCGUGCCAGCAGCCGCGGUAAUACGGAGGGUACAAGCGUUAAUCGGAAUUACUGGGCGUAAAGCGCACGCAGGCGGUUUGUUAAGUCAGAUGUGAAAUCCCCGGGCUCAACCUGGGAACUGCAUUUGAAACUGGCAAGCUAGAGUCUCGUAGAGGGGGGUAGAAUUCCAGGUGUAGCGGUGAAAUGCGUUAGAGAUCUGGAGGAAUACCGGUGGCGAAGGCGGCCCCCUGGACGAAGACUGACGCUCAGGUGCGAAAGCGUGGGA
rnacentral:rRNA from 1 species